rnacentral:rRNA from 1 species
AUGAUUACUGGACUAGCUCCGGACCUCAUUGAGAAUGGCAUAGCCAUCCUCCAAUAUGCUGACGACACAGUCAUCUGUUUUGAACAUGAUGAGGAGGCUGCUGUUAACUUGAAGCACCUCUUAUAUAUUUUUGAACUCAUGUCUGGUCUAAAGAUAAACUUCCUUAAGAGUGAAAUCCUGUGUGUGGGAGGAGAUGAUAAUGUACUAGCUUCCUAUGCUGAUCUUUUCAACUGUCAAAUUGGGCACUUCCCGAUGAAAUACUUGGGAGUGUCGGUAAGCUACUCCACCUUGCGUAGCCUGGACUGGAGUUUUGUAGAUGACAAAUUCCUCAAAUGUUGUGAAACAUGGAUUGGGAACGCUGCAUCCUCGGGAGGAAGACUUGUACUCCUAAAUUCCUCCCUUUCUAGCAUUGUUUAUUACUACAUGGCUAUGUUUUUGCUUCCUAAGAUGGUGAUCUACAAACUUGAUAAACAUCGCAAAAAGUUUUUCUGGCAAGAAACCAACGGCAGGAAACGUUAUCAUCUUGUGGAAUGGACCAGAAUCUGUAGAUCGAAGAACAAAGGGGGUUUGGGGGUGAAAGAUCUCCGUAAGCAUAAUAUUAGCUUACUUACUAAAUGGUGGUGGAAACUCAAGACACAGCAAGGGUUGUGGCAGGAUGUAAUUCGAACCAGGUACUUGAAAAAAAGAUACUAUAACUUCGGUGAGAAGUAG